GAUGAACGCUGGCGGCGUGCCUAAUACAUGCAAGUCGAGCGAACGGACGAGAAGCUUGCUUCUCUGAUGUUAGCGGCGGACGGGUGAGUAACACGUGGAUAACCUACCUAUAAGACUGGGAUAACUUCGGGAAACCGGAGCUAAUACCGGAUAAAAUUUUGAACCGCAUGGUUCAAAAGUGAAAGACGGUCUUGCUGUCACUUAUAGAUGGAUCCGCGCUGCAUUAGCUAGUUGGUAAGGUAACGGCUUACCAAGGCAACGAUGCAUAGCCGACCUGAGAGGGUGAUCGGCCACACUGGAACUGAGACACGGUCCAGACUCCUACGGGAGGCAGCAGUAGGGAAUCUUCCGCAAUGGGCGAAAGCCUGACGGAGCAACGCCGCGUGAGUGAAGAAGGUCUUCGGAUCGUAAAACUCUGUUAUUAGGGAAGAACAUAUGUGUAAGUAACUGUGCACAUCUUGACGGUACCUAAUCAGAAAGCCACGGCUAACUACGUG
rnacentral:rRNA from 1 species